rnacentral:rRNA from 1 species
UACAGAGGUCCCAAGCGUUGUUCGGAUUCCCUGGGCGUAAAGGGUGCGUAGGCGGUUGGGUAAGUCUGUCGUGAAAUCUCCGAGCCUAACUCGGAAACUGCGUCGGAUACUAUUCAACUCGAGGAAUGGAGGGGAGACUGGAAUUCUCGGUGUAGCAGUGAAAUGCGUAGAUAUCGAGAGGAACACCAGUGGCGAAGGCGAGUCUCUGGACAUUUCCUGACGCUGAGGCACGAAAGCCAGGGGAGCAAACGGG